UGGAAUACCUGAUUCUGCCUGCCCCCUGUCUGCCUUUUUCCACCAACCUUGUCUCAACCCUUCACACAACACCACAGCCGCAGUGGACCUCUUACCGCCCUCCCGGUACAGCGAUCUCCCUGCGUCCUCCAUCUCCUCGGCCGGCUAGUGGGCGACGUGACCAGACCCGGAUUUCCUGAGCAUUAUUCAGUCCCUUACAAUAAAUCUGUUUUCUUACC